rnacentral:rRNA from 1 species
UACGUAGGGUGCAAGCGUUGUCCGGAAUUAUUGGGCGUAAAGAGCUCGUAGGCGGUCUGUCGCGUCUGCUGUGAAAACUCGGGGCUUAACCCCGGGCCUGCAGUGGGUACGGGCAGACUAGAGUGCGGUAGGGGAGACUGGAAUUUCCGGUGUAGCGGUGAAAUGCGUAGAGAUCGGAAAGAACACCCGUGGCGAAGGCGGCUAUCUGGGUCCAAACUGACACUGAGGCGCGAAAGCGUGGGGAGCGAACAGG